rnacentral:rRNA from 1 species
UACGUAGGGUGCGAGCGUGGUCCGGAAUUAUUGGGCGUAAAGAGCUCGUAGGCGGCUUGUCGCGUCGGAUGUGAAAGCCCGGGGCUUAACUCCGGGUCUGCAUUCGAUACGGGCAGGCUAGAGUUCGGUAGGGGAGAUCGGAAUUCCUGGUGUAGCGGUGAAAUGCGCAGAUAUCGGGAGGAACACCGGUGGCGAAGGCGGUUCUCUGGGCCUUACCUGACGCUGAGGAGCGAAAGCGUGGGGAGCGAACAGG